GAUGAACGCUAGCGAUAGGCCUAACACAUGCAAGUCGAGGGGCAUCACAUGAAGUAGCAAUACGGAUGGUGGCGACCGGCGCACGGGUGAGUAACACGUAUGCAACCUGCCUUCAACAAGGGGAUAACCCGUUGAAAGACGGACUAAUACCCUAUAACACAGGGGUCCCGCAUGGGGAAUAUUUGUUAAAGGACAACCGGUUGAAGAUGGGCAUGCGUUCCAUUAGCUAGUUGGCGGGGUAACGGCCCACCAAGGCAACGAUGGAUAGGGGAACUGAGAGGUUUAUCCCCCACACUGGUACUGAGACACGGACCAGACUCCUACGGGAGGCAGCAGUGAGGAAUAUUGGUCAAUGGACGCAAGUCUGAACCAGCCACGUCGCGUGAAGGAAGACGGCCCUACGGGUUGUAAACUUCUUUUAUACGGGAAUAAAGUGCCCCACGCGUGGGGUUUUGCAUGUACCGUAUGAAUAAGGAUCGGCUAA
rnacentral:rRNA from 1 species